rfam:Gossypium hirsutum cultivar TM-1 chromosome 25, whole genome shotgun sequence
UAUUAAAAUUUUCAUCCAUUUGGUUGUUAAAAACUAGCGUAGUUGAUGAAAUAACUAGAUAAUAACAUGUGGUGUGCCACAUAUAUCUCAUGCUAACAUACAUUAAUCAGUUUUUAACAGUAGAAAUAGAUAAAACUUUUAACA